rnacentral:rRNA from 1 species
AGAGUAUGCCUACGGGAGCAGCAGUAGGGAAUUUUCGUCAAUGGGCGCAAGCCUGAACGAGCAAUGCCGCGUGAACGAGGAAGGUCUUCGGAUCGUAAAGUUCUGUUGAAGGGGAAAAAGAGCGGAGAGAGGAAAUGGUCUCUGAUUGAUAUUACCCUUCGAGGAAGUCACGGCUAACUACGUGCC